rnacentral:rRNA from 1 species
CAGUAGCCACGGGAAUACAGAGGGUGCAAGCGUUAAUCGGAUUUACUGGGCGUAAAGGGCGCGUAGGUGGUUGCGUAAGUGAGAUGUGAAAUCCCCGGGCUUAACCUGGGACGUGCAUCUUAUACUGCGUAACUGGAGUGCAAGAGAGGGUAGUGGAAUUUCCGGUGUAGCGGUGAAAUGCGUAGAUAUCGGAAGGAACACCAGUGGCGAAGGCGGCUACCUGGCUUGACACUGACACUGAGGCGCGAAAGCGUGGGGAGCAAACAGGAUUAGAUACCCGCGUAGUCCCUGUCUCUUAUAC